UGUAAGGGAGCUAGCAUCUCGAUAAGAUUAAAAAGCUUAUGAUCAAAUCAAAGUCUUAUGUGGAUAUCUGUAAAAGUCGGAUGCUUGUGCGACUACAAGGGACCUUCAAAAAAUAUCUAUGAUCAUCAGUUCGUGGUAAAGAUUGAUCCAUGCCAAGGUAUGUUCUUAGUUUAUUUUUUUCUAUUUGAUUUCUAUAUCUAAAUCUUAUCUCACA
rnacentral:lncRNA from 1 species